UACGAAGGGGGCGAGCGUUGUUCGGAUUUAUUGGGCGUAAAGCGCGUGUAGGCGGCUUUGUGUGUCGGGUGUGAAAGCCCUCGGCUUAACCGAGGAAGUGCGCCCGAAACUGCAGAGCUUGAGUGCCGGAGAGGAUAGCGGAACACCCGGUGUAGAGGUGAAAUUCGUUGAGAUCGGAAGGAACGCCCGUGGCGAAAGCGAGGUCCUGGACGUCUGCUGACGCUGAGACGCGAAAGCCAGGGGAGCGAACGGG
rnacentral:rRNA from 1 species